rnacentral:rRNA from 1 species
AGAGUCACUCCUACGGGAGGCAGCAGUGGGGAAUAUUGGACAAUGGGCGCAAGCCUGAUCCAGCAAUGCCGCGUGUGUGAAGAAGGCCUUCGGGUUGUAAAGCACUUUUAUCAGGAGCGAAAUACUACUGGCUAAUAACCGGUGGGGCUGACGGUACCUGAGGAAUAAGCACCGGCUAACUUCGUGCCAGCAGCCGCGGUAAUACGAAGGGUGCAAGCGUUAAUCGGAAUUACUGGGCGUAAAGCGUGCGUAGGCGGUGAGUUAAGUCUGUUGUGAAAUCCCCGGGCUCAACCUGGGAAUGGCAAUGGAUACUGGCUCGCUAGAGUGUGAUAGAGGAUGGUGGAAUUCCCGGUGUAGCGGUGAAAUGCGUAGAGAUCGGGAGGAACAUCAGUGGCGAAGGCGGCCAUCUGGAUCAACACUGACGCUGAGGCACGAAAGCGUGGGGAGCAAACAGGAUUAGAUACCCUGGUAGUCCACGCCCUAAACGAUGCGAACUGGAUGUUGGUCUCAACUCGGAGAUCAGUGUCGAAGCUAACGCGUUAAGUUCGCCGCCUGGGGAGUACGGUCGCAAGACUGAAACUCAAAGGAAUUGACG